CGAUGAAUGCUACCUGUUUGGCCAGAUUGAAGGCUGAGCGGGACAGCGAAAGCGUUAAGCAUUCCACCUGGGGAGUACGCCGGCAACGGUGAAACUCAAAGGAAUUGACGGGGGCCCGCACAAGCGGAGGAACAUGUGGUUUAAUUCGAUGAUACGCGAGGAACCUUACCCGGGCUCAAACGCAUAAUGACGACAGUUGAAAGAUUGUUUCCCUUCGGGGCAUUAUGCGAGGUGCUGCAUGGUUGUCGUCAGCUCGUGCCGUGAGGUGUCGGCUUAAGUGCCAUAACGAGCGCAACCCCUAUCGACAGUUGCUAACGAGUAAAGUCGAGGACUCUGUUGAGACUGCCGGCGCAAGCUGUGAGGAAGGCGGGGAUGACGUCAAAUCAGCACGGCCCUUACGUCCGGGGCGACACACGUGUUACAAUGGCAGGGACAGCGGGAAGCCACCAAGCGAUUGGGCGCGGAACCCGAAACCCUGUCUCAGUUCGGAUUGGAGUCUGCAACUCGACUCCAUGAAGCUGGAUUCGCUAGUAAUCGCGCAUCAGCCAUGGCGCGGUGAAUACGUUCCCGCGGCCUUGCACACACCGCCCGUCAAG
rnacentral:rRNA from 1 species